AUUGAACGCUGGCGGCAGGCCUAACACAUGCAAGUCGAGCGAGCGGCGGACGUGAGAGUAAUGCGUGGGAAUUCACCAGUCGAGGGGGAUAACAGUGGAAAACGAUUGCUAAUACCGCAUACGCUUGGAUCGCCAAGGUGGGAUUGGUUCGUUGGUGAGGUAAUGGCUCACCAAGGCGACGAUCCCUAGUUGGGCUGAGAGGAGGAUCAGCCAAACGGGAACUGAGACACGGUCCAUACUCCUACGGGAGGCGGCAGUGGGGAAUAUGGCACAAUGGGGGAAACCCUGAUGCAGCCAGGCCGCGUGUGUGAAGAAGGCCUUCGGGUUGUAAAGCACUUUCAGCGAGGAGGCGUUACUCGCAGAAGAAGCACCGGCUAACUCCGUGCCAGCAGCCGCGGUAAUUC
rnacentral:rRNA from 1 species